rnacentral:rRNA from 1 species
ACUACAUGAAGCUGGAAUCGCUAGUAAUCGCAGAUCAGAAUGCUGCGGUGAAUACGUUCCCGGGUCUUGUACACACCGCCCGUCACACCAUGGGAGUCGGAAAUGCCCGAAGCCGGUGACCCAACCAAAAGGAGGGAGCCGUCGAAGGCAGGUCUGAUAACUGGGGUGAAGUCGUAACAAGGUACC